UGGUGGGAGAAUAAGAGGAAAAGCAAGCAGAAAGAUGAUUUUCAUCUAGGCAAUUUUGAAGAUCCUAGGCUUUCUGGUAAAUAUUCCUGUAGGUACCAUAGUUUUGAGAAAGAAUUGUUGAGAAAGAUGUUGAGAAAGAAUUUUGUUUCCAAAGAGCUAAAUAAUCCAUGUGGAGCUAAAUAAUCCAAGUGUCACAGACACUUGAGCAUCACUCUGCAGCCUGUAGCAUCAUUGCAGGUGCAGAGACUUACAGCUCCACACUCACCCCCAGAGCAGAGCCACUCCAGCUUAGGAAACCUCAGGACCGUGGAGUCUGAUGUCUGAGACACUGUGUUGCCAGUUUUAGCAGGGAAGAUAAACUCUGCUUCAAGAACUGCAGGCAGCUCCAUUCAUGUGGCCGAUGCUUUCACUUGCACCUUCUGGUUGAGAGCCCUCUUCAGUUGUCUGAAACAGAAAGGAGACGUCAGUGGAGGCACAUGCGUGUCUUCCAUCAGGCAGCCACUGGGCCUGUCUCCCAUUAGGUAGCUCUGCCUGGCUCUCUAUUAUUGCCACAAUUCUUAGUUCUGAAAGAAAUGGAACUGAUUGUGUACAAAUGUCUGUAACAGUAGGCUUGCACUGAAAACCUAAUAAAAUCUAGAUAUAUAGCAAA